CCUACGGGUGGCAGCAGUGGGGAAUAUUGCACAAUGGGCGCAAGCCUGAUGCAGCGACGCCGCGUGAGCGAAGAAGUAUUUCGGGAUGUAAAGCACUAUCAGCAGGGAAGAAAAUGACGGUACUUGACUAAGAAGCUCCGGCUAAAUACGGGCGAGCAGCCGCGGGAAUACGUAUGGAGCAAGCGUUAACCGGAAUUACGGGGUGUAAAGGUAGCGUAGACGGUUGUGCAAGUCUGAUGUGAAGGCCGGGGGCUCAACCCCUGGACUGCAUUGGGGACUGUAAAUCUUGAGUGCCGGAGAGGUAAGCGGAAUUCCUAGUGUAGCGGUGAAAUGCGUAGAUAUUAGGAGGAACACCAGUGGCGAAGGCGGCUUACUGGACGGUAACUGACGUUGAGGCUCGAAAGCGUGGGGAGCAAACAGGAUUAGAUACCCCUGUAGUC
rnacentral:rRNA from 1 species